rnacentral:snoRNA from 1 species
ACUCCAUAGUGUGGACAUUUUCGUUGUAGAUCCUUGAAUCUUUCCCAAGCAUCAUAAAAUGUUUCAUUAUUACAUUGCUUGAAGCUAGUAAUGUCAGUUUUGAGCUU